rnacentral:rRNA from 1 species
UACGGGGGGGGCAAGCGUUGUUCGGAAUACUGGGCGUAAAGCGUGCGCAGGCGGUGAUGUAAGACAGAUGUGAAAUCCCCGGGCUCAACCUGGGAACUGCAUUUGUGACUGCAUCGCUGGAGUGCGGCAGAGGGGGAUGGAAUUCCGCGUGUAGCAGUGAAAUGCGUAGAUAUGCGGAGGAACACCGAUGGCGAAGGCAAUCCCCUGGGCCUGCACUGACGCUCAUGCACGAAAGCGUGGGGAGCAAACAGG